UCAGGGAUUCAAAUUGAAUUUAAUCCAAGGGCACAAUUAGAAAUUAAUUAUUACUGAUUAAGAUCCCAAUUGUUGAGUUUAAAACGUUUAGGGGCCAAAGUGAAAAAUAGCCAUUCCCAAGGACACAAACGGCGCCGUUUGGAAGCACUGUUCAUCAUCCCUCUCGUUUCGCACGGAGAAAGCCGAUUCAACAGGAAAUCUGCAGCAAAUCGUGGACCACGUCUCCUGCCCACGAUCCCGUUCGUGAUUUGAAUAACAGUCCUGCAAAGACAGGACUGGUUUUGAAGCUCUCGAGCUCUAUAAAAAGGAGAGCUGAACCGGGGAAGAGGGGGAACCAAAAAAAAAAGGGAGAGGCAGAGAACGAAACAGGGAGAAAAACACGAAAAAAAGAGAGCCAAGGAGAGAGGCAGGAGACUAUACAGAGGGAAAGGAAGGAGAACCAGAGAAAAAAAAAACAGAAAAGCAGAGCACGAACCAAACAGAGAAAAACACAGAAAAAGGAAAGAAAGAGGAAAACAGGCGGAGAACAACGAAAAACAGAGGAGGAAACCAGACGAAAAACUCAGGGGAAGACAGGGGCAGGUUGAAGCAGAGGAAAGGGAAGGCAAAAUUCCUUCACAACUUCGGCAGCCGCAAACAACAAACGAAAACCGGAGGGAGCACAGGAGAUCGAUCAAAUACCAGAAGCACGGGAACCAACCAUUCGCAGAAUCACAAGAACAAAGAAGGAGAAAAACGUGCAGUAGACCAGGCAAUGCUUCCUUUAAGCUUGUUCGUCUUUGCAACGCCAUUUUCCUUGCGCUCGAGAGCAUGGACCACCGUGAAAUAAGUACACCACUCGUGAACACCAAGCACUAAAAGGUGCCACACCGUUGUCUUUGGAUCCAGGACACCUGAGAGAGCACUCUGGAGAACCCCUUUUAAGGCUGCGAGAAUCCAUGCCAACGCUACACAAAGCCAACAUCUGAAGCCAACACGUGUUAAAUAAACUCAUUUACAGUAUUAAAGAUCGUCGAGGGAAGAGGUGCACUGAUUAAAGUCAUUAGGAACAAAACAAAUUAAUUAGUGUGGUCGCCAUGUGCUAAAGCUAGCCAAGCCAAUUCACCUAAGACAGCUUGGAAUCUGUAAAAAAGAGUGUUAAUCAGGAGAAAAUGGUCUCCCAUAAAAGAGAGAAAAACGAUACAAAGGCAUGGACCAUGGAAUGACACAUACCCACUUGUCCACCAUCCAAGUUUCGUACGUUUUAUGAUAAUUAAACAUUAAAUAUGUGGUAUAGAUUAAGGCGUUAAUGAGGUUUAGAAUCUUUGAUUAUAAUUUAAACCCUAAAGAAGAUACAAACUUAGCUGUUGGCGAGAUUUCUUGCUUUAGGGUGCGGGGAAUAAUCCAACUUUAUGUC